CCUACGGGUGGCAGCAGUGAGGAAUAUUGGUCAAUGGACGAGAGUCUGAACCAGCCAAGUAGCGUGAAGGAUGACUGCCCUAUGGGUUGUAAACUUCUUUUAUAUGGGAAUAAAAUGUUCCACGUGUGGGAUUUUGUAUGUACCAUAUGAAUAAGGAUCGGCUAACUCCGUGCCAGCAGCCGCGGUAAUACGGAGGAUCCGAGCGUUAUCCGGAGUUAUUGGGUUUAACGGGAGCGUAGGUGGAUUGUUAAGUCAGUUGUGAAAGUUUGCGGCUCAACCGUAAAAUUGCAGUUGAAACUGGCAGUCUUGAGUACAGUAGAGGUGGGCGGAAUUCGUGGUGUAGCGGUGAAAUGCUUAGAUAUCACGAAGAACUCCGAUUGCGAAGGCAGUUCACUGGACUGCAACUGACACUGAGGCUCGAAAGUGUGGGUAUCAAACAGGAUUAGAUACCCGUGUAGUC
rnacentral:rRNA from 1 species